UUGCAGCUUGACUUAGAAGCAAGUUAAAUAUGUUCAAGAACACAUUCCAAUCUGGGUUUCUCUCCAUUCUAUGCAGCCUUGGGAGCAAACCUUUGCAGAUAUGGGAUAAAGAAUAUAUCUCCUAGGUCAAGAAGCUAUGCAACUGGUAUAUCAAAUGGUAAUUUUCUGUUGGAGAUGUUCCUUUUCAACUCAGAGAAAUUUCUUUAGCAUCCUUGAAGUCCAAGGUGUAGAGGAAUAAAAUGAAAACUGCUGGUCAAGAUAGUGAUAUACAGAUGUCUUAUCCAUGCAACUUAAGG